AUGCCAUAAGCCCACACUCCAGCCUAUCAGGGUGAAUUAAAGGUCUGCCUUGCCCAACUCUUGUCACACCUGCUUCCAUGGUCUGAAUAAAAGAUUCACCUAACUACACUUUUCAUAUUGUCCUUUAAUCUUUGUACUUACUGCAUAAACAUGUUUUAUGCUUAUUAUAUAGGUAUUUAAAUAAUGCAUAUAGGGCCUAUAUUUCUCUAUCAAUGUUACAAUUUUUAUCAGCUACAUAAUUUUGAAUCACAUUUAUAUACCAUCAUUCACCUUCCAUCUAUCCAAAAGAUAUGAGAAGGGGAAAGAAAGGAAGAAAAGGAAAGUGCUAGUAGAU
rnacentral:lncRNA from 10 species